CAGCCGCCGCGGUAAUACGUAGGGUGCGAGCGUUAAUCGGAAUUACUGGGCGUAAAGCGUGCGCAGGCGGUUUGUUAAGACAGAUGUGAAAUCCCCGGGCUUAACCUGGGAACUGCAUUUGUGACUGGCAAGCUAGAGUAUGGCAGAGGGGGGUGGAAUUCCGCGUGUAGCAGUGAAAUGCGUAGAUAUGCGGAGGAACACCGAUGGCGAAGGCAGCCCCCUGGGCCAAUACUGACGCUCAUGCACGAAAGCGUGGGGAGCAAACAGGAUUAGAUACCCCGGUAGUCCCUGUCUCUUAUAC
rnacentral:rRNA from 1 species